GUUGGCAGUAGAGCUGUUGGAAGUAGAGCUGUUGGAAGUAGAGCUGUCUGAAGUAGAGCUGUUAUAAAAAGCUGUUUACUGUUUGGUAACUACAUUCGUAAAGUGCUGUGGUACUUUGUUUUGUGUUUGGUAAACAAACUGAGAAAGUACUUUUGUAUGACAAAAUUACCAUAAAGGAUAUUGCAUAGUAUUAUACAACAGAACAUAAUAAAACAUAACAUAAAUUAAUACAUAAAUAUACGAUAUAGUAUAAUAUUAUUGUAAUAUAAAAUAAUAUUAUGUUAAUAUAGCAUAAUAGUAAUAUAAUUAUUAGAGUAAAUUAAUAUUUGGUAAUAUAAC
rnacentral:lncRNA from 1 species